rnacentral:lncRNA from 1 species
UAUCGUGCAAGCCUUGAAAGGAUAGAAAUUUAAACUGCAUCUGCAUGGUCGGUACUAAUUCGAGCUAUAUGGCUCGUACCUAUCACGCAAGCCUUGAAAAGACAAAAAUUGAAACCGCAUCUGCAUGGUUGGCACUACUGCACGUCUCCGCACAUGUCUUCGAUGGUGGUGUAGAAUGUGAUUUACCUGCUGCUGGCAUUAAUUACUAAAUCGAUGGUAGAAAUUAUAUUCAUCAAGGGUUGCCACACGUCGAGCACCUGUUCACUUUUUAUCGAUUCACGCCUCCUGCAAUUAAUACCGUGAUGGGAGGUAUCUUUUGAAGGCUCCGCUGAACUUGGGACUAUUUAAAAUCUCAGACAAAGCCAGAUGUAUGUCUCUUUAGGUUUUAGAUUGUCCUCUCUUC